GCUGAAUGUGGGGAUAAUUUAUCUCCGUGUUCUAUUAGCGUGGGUUAGCCUCCGCCUGGGGACUACGGUCGCAAGACUAAAACUCAAAGGAAUUGACGGGGACCCGCACAAGCGGUGGAGCAUAUGGUUUAAUUCGAUGCAACGCGAAAAACCUUACCACUCCUUGACAUGGAGAUUAGAUCCUUCUUAACAGAAGGGCGCAGUUCGGCUGGAUCUCGCACAGGUGCUGCAUGGCUGUCGUCAGCUCGUGUCGUGAGAUGUUGGGUUAAGUCCCGCAACGAGCGUAACCCUCAUCCUUAGUUGCCAGCGGGUUAAGCCGGGCACUUUAAGGAAACUGCCAGUGGUAAACUGGAGGAAGGUGGGGAUGAUGUCAAGUCAGCACGGCCCUUAUGGGGUGGGCUACACACGUGCUACAAUGGUGACUACAAUAGGUUGCAAUGUCGCAAGGCUGAGCUAAUCCGUAAAAGUCAUCUCAGUUCGGAUUGUCCUCUGCAACUCGAGGGCAUGAAGUCGGAAUCGCUAGUAAUCGUGGAUCAGCAUGCCACGGUGAAUACGUUCUCGGGUCUUGUACACACUGCCCGUCACGCCAUGGGAAUUGGCUUAACUCGAAGCUGGUGCGCUAACCGAAAGGAAGCAGCCAU
rnacentral:rRNA from 1 species